AGAGUUUGAUCAUGGCUCAGGAUGAACGCUAGCGGCAGGCUUAACACAUGCAAGUCGAGGGGCAGCGGAUGUAGCAAUACAUGCCGGCGACCGGCGGAUGGUGCGUAACGCGUAUGCAACUACCUUAUACAGGGGAAUAACCUUUCGAAAGGGAGACUAACACCCCAUAGUAUUGAUUUAAGGCAUCUUAGAUUAAUUAAAUAUUUAUAGGUAUAAGAUGGGCAUGCGUAUGAUUAGCUAGUUGGUAAGGUAACGGCUUACCAAGGCGACGAUCAUUAGGGGUUCUGAGAGGAAGGUCCCCCACACUGGUACUGAGACACGGACCAGACUCCUACGGGAGGCAGCAGUGAGGAAUAUUGGUCAAUGGGCGCAAGCCUGAACCAGCCAUGCCGCGUGCAGGAAGACGGCCUUAUGGGUUGUAAACUGCUUUUACAUAAGACUAACCGUAUAUUUGCGAAUAUACCUGAAUGUAUUAUGAGAAUAAGGAUCGGCUAACUCCGUGCCAGCCGCCGC
rnacentral:rRNA from 1 species